rnacentral:rRNA from 1 species
UGGGGAAUAUUGCACAAUGGGCGGAAGCCUGAUGCAGCGACGCCGCGUGGGGGAUGAAGGCCUUCGGGUUGUAAACUCCUUUCGACAGGGACGAAGCUUUUGUGACGGUACCUGUAUAAGAAGCACCGGCUAACUACGUGCCAGCAGCCGCGGUAAUACGUAGGGUGCGAGCGUUGUCCGGAAUUACUGGGCGUAAAGAGCUCGUAGGUGGUUCGUCGCGUCGUCUGUGAAAUUCCGGGGCUUAACUCCGGGCGUGCAGGCGAUACGGGCUGACUUGAGUGCUGUAGGGGAGACUGGAAUUCCUGGUGUAGCGGUGAAAUGCGCAGAUAUCAGGAGGAACACCGAUGGCGAAGGCAGGUCUCUGGGCAGUAACUGACGCUGAGGAGCGAAAGCAUGGGUAGCGAACAGGAUUAGAUACCCUGGUAGUCCAUGCCGUAAACGGUGGGCGCUAGGUGUAGGGGGCUUCCACGUCUUCUGUGCCGUAGCUAACGCAUUAAGCGCCCCGCCUGGGGAGUACGGCCGCAAGGCUA